AUGCGCGCCCCCUACUAUGCGUGGCCGCGCAUUACUCGCACGCUGACGCCACAUAUUAUUGCAUAGUAUACAGCAGCUGCUCCACGCGGUCAGAGUCUGGGUGUCAGCCUAGUCCGGACUGCGGAUGGUGAUUGUGUUAUGGGUCAGGUGGCAAUAUAUUGUGUUGGGAAAAUUACACUGCCAAAUCCCGCCCGUCAGUGACAGAUGUAAAAUAGCACAAAAAAGGAGAGAGGAGUAAGGAGUCGAUGCUUCUAGACAUAAUAUCCAGCUACAUGUGCAACUGGGUAUAUGGAUGGUGAUGUAUCAAACCUUUUAAAGAGUUUACAAGUUGAGAAGCUGCCUAUAGCAACCAGCUAGGUUCUUCUUAUGUUAUAGAAUGGACUCCACCAGUCUUUAUAAGUGCAUCUACUCGUUCUGACUUCUGUGAGUAAUCCCACAAAACCUCCUCAAACUGGAAGAUCAUGAUGCUUGUCAGAGCAUUGAUUACCAUCCUGGGAAUACAUAGAGACAAGGUUUGUCUAAAAAGGACGAUACACUGACGCAUAAUAUAUGUUUAGCUUAAACUUAUUUUUUAAAUCACAUGUAUGCAACCCGUUAUAUUGUACCUGUUGUUU